UGGGGAAUAUUGGACAAUGGGCGCAAGCCUGAUCCAGCCAUGCCGCGUGAGUGAUGAAGGCCCUAGGGUUGUAAAGCUCUUUCACCGGUGAAGAUAAUGACGGUAACCGGAGAAGAAGCCCCGGCUAACUUCGUGCCAGCAGCCGCGGUAAUACGAAGGGGGCUAGCGUUGUUCGGAUUUACUGGGCGUAAAGCGCACGUAGGCGGACUAUUAAGUCAGGGGUGAAAUCCCGGGGCUCAACCCCGGAACUGCCUUUGAUACUGGUAGCCUUGAGUUCGAGAGAGGUGAGUGGAAUUCCGAGUGUAGAGGUGAAAUUCGUAGAUAUUCGGAGGAACACCAGUGGCGAAGGCGGCUCACUGGCUCGAUACUGACGCUGAGGUGCGAAAGCGUGGGGAGCAAACAGG
rnacentral:rRNA from 1 species